rnacentral:tRNA from 1 species
AAUGCUGAGCCUGAGUUAAAGGGAUAUCGUGAUAGGAUAUAUAAUGUGGAAUCAAACCCCACCUUCAUUA